GAUGAAGAACGUAGCGAAAUGCGAUAAGUAAUGUGAAUUGCAGAAUUCAGUGAAUCAUCGAAUCUUUGAACGCACCUUGCGCUCCUUGGUAUUCCGAGGAGCAUGCCUGUUUGAGUGUCAUUAAUAUAUCAACCUUCUCUUUUUUGAGUUGUUUGGAUGUGGGGGUUUGCUGGCCUCUUAAAUGAUUCAGCUCCCCUGAAAUGCAUUAGCAGAACAACCUGUUCAUUAGCGUGAUAAUUAUCUAUGCUAUUGAAUGUGAGGGCAGUUCAGCUUUCUAACCGUCCUUGGACAAUUCAUCAUUAAUGUGACCUCAAAUCAGGUAGGACUACCCGCUGAACUUAAGCAUAUCAAAGCGGAGGA
rnacentral:misc_RNA from 1 species